GACGAACGCUGGCGGCGUGCCUAAUACAUGCAAGUCGAGCGCAGGAAACUGACGGAACUCUUCGGAGGGAAGGCAGCGGAAUGAGCGGCGGACGGGUGAGUAACAUGUAAGGAACCUGCCUCAAGGAUUGGGAUAACUCCGAGAAAUCGGAGCUAAUACCGGAUAGUUCAUCGGACCGCAUGGUCCGUUGAUGAAAGGCGCUCCGGCGUCACCUUGAGAUGGCCUUGCGGUGCAUUAGCUAGUUGGUGGGGUAACGGCCCACCAAGGCGACGAUGCAUAGCCGACCUGAGAGGGUGAUCGGCCACACUGGGACUGAGACACGGCCCAGACUCCUACGGGAGGCAGCAGUAGGGAAUCUUCCACAAUGGACGAAAGUCUGAUGGAGCAACGCCGCGUGAGUGAUGAAGGUUUUCGGAUCGUAAAACUCUGUUGUAAGGGAAGAACACGUACGAGAGGAAAUGCUCGUACCUUGACGGUACCUUACGAGAAAGCCACGGCUAACUACGUGCCAGCAGCCGCAGUAA
rnacentral:rRNA from 1 species